rnacentral:rRNA from 1 species
CCUACGGGUGGCAGCAGUGGGGAAUAUUGGGCAAUGGAGGCAACUCUGACCCAGCAAUGCCGCGUGAGUGACGAUGGUAAUUUUAUUGUAAAGCUCUUUUCUUUGGAACGAAUAAAUGUCGGUACCAAAGGAAUAAGCCCUGGCUAACUACGUGCCAGCAGCCGCGGUGAUACGGAGGGGGCAAGCGUUGUGCGGAAUGACUGGGGGUAAAGGGUGUGUAGGUGGUUUGAUAAGUUAGAGGUGUAAUACCCAGGGCUUAACUCGGGUGCUGCAUCUAAGACUGUUAGACUUGAGUACGGGAGAGGAUAGUGGAAUGCCUAGUGUAGCGGUGGAAUGCGUAGAUAUUAGGAGGAACAUCAGUGGCGAAGGCGACUAUCUGGACAGCAACUGACACUGAGGCACGAAAGCGUGGGGAGCAAACAGGAUUAGAUACCCUGGUAGUC